CAGUAGCCGCGGUAAUGCGUAGGUGGCAAGCGUUGUCCGGAAUUAUUGGGCGUAAAGCGCGCGCAGGCGGAUCAGUCAGUCUGUCUUAAAAGUACGGGGCUUAACCCCGUGAUGGGAUGGAAACUGCUGAUCUAGAGUAUCGGAGAGGAAAGUGGAAUUCCUAGCGUAGCGGUGAAAUGCGUAGAUAUUAGGAAGAACACCAGUGGCGAAGGCGACUUUCUGGACGAAAACUGACGCUGAGGCGCGAAAGCCAGGGGAGCGAACGGGAUUAGAUACCCCAGUAGUCCCUGUCUCUUAUACA
rnacentral:rRNA from 1 species